CAUCUGUGCCAGGGCCUGCCCACUCUCCCAGGGAACAAUUCCUUCCUAACAUCUGAUCUCAACCUGCUGUCUGGCAGUGGGGAACCAUUGACCCUUGUGCUGUUAAUAAUCCCUCUGCCUCCUUUUUAUCAGCCCCUUCAGACACUCCAGAGCAGAAGGGCUCCAGCCCUUGGAGAAUCUCCUCUGUAACAAGACAGGUCCUGUCUGUCUUGUGCAGGGACCCCAGAGACGGAGGCAGCACUCAAGGUCCCAUUUGUGAAGGACCUGCUUUCAGGGUUCCCUGUUGGGAAGGUGUUCUUUGUGCCCACAGGAGCUCGUCCAGGAGAAAUUGUUAAUUGUUUCCAGUGACCUGCUCUGAAUGAAGUGACCCACAGCAAUGCUGCCAAAGGUGACACCUUUGUGUUUUCAGUUAUGUUUUCUGCUGGACCACACUUCAAAGGCCUGCUCAGAUAAUUUGUUUUCAAGUCAUAUGAUGGACAAAACAUUGUCAGUUUAGGAAGAAAAACUCGGUGUCAUAUAAGAUCUUAGAUGUCAUUAGGCUAAAUCCCCUUCAGACUGAAGGCUAAAUGUGAAAGAGGCAAACUAAAGUACAGAAUCCUGGUGUGCACAUUUCCCAUUUCAAGAU